GGGAGCGGGGGAGGGGACACGGUCGUCCGAGGAAGGGGGGGGUGGCCAAAGGGGUUGGACAGGACGCGUCUUAGACAGUGGGGGAGGGGACGCUGGAGUUGGGGACUCGGGCCAAGGGGUCGUGCCUUACGCAGCGGGGGCGGGAGCUCGGCCGCGCUCUGCGGGGCGUGACCAGCGGCAUUCCUCCUCCCUCGGCCCGCCCUACUCUUCCUUUGUUCUCUUUUCCUCCUCCCUUCCCCCCACUCUGACCUCCUCUCCCCCAUGCCCCCACCCCGUGGGGCGGCACUGCGCCCACCCCAGUUCUUUUGUCCAGCGUCUGUGCAGAGCAGAGAAGGGGCCUCCAGCUGGGUUUUGGUGACUCCCAGGCGCGCGCACAGCCCGGCCUUCCCGGGGCCGCAUGCCCACCCUGGAAGCCCUCCCUCUUUGUCAACCGCUCCCCCGUCGUGCCCCCAGCCCCAAGCCCAAGUGGGGGCCCUGUCCCGCGCACCUGGGGCACCUGGUGGCGGGCAGGGCGCGUCCCGUCUGCGCGGUGGAUCCCAUGGCGGAGCGCGGCCGGGCGCGCAGGACCUCACCCCAAGCGCUCUGUGCCCCGUACCCGCCCACGAAGCUGCAGCACCGGGGUGUGGGGGGCCCCCCAGCUCCCUCCCUAAUCCUCUUAAUCUCCUGCAAAUUGGUCUUGCAAACAGGUUUUCCGUGAUUGCGAGGAGAUGAUUACUGCUGGCUGGGCCUGGGCAUGGUGAGGCACGCAACCACCCCCGCCCCCGCCAGCGGCCUUGGGGACGCCACUACCGGCCCGGAGCCCACUGUCUCCAUCUCAUGAAGGGUCUUAGGACUUGCCUCGUGCAAUCGGGCAACCAAGAUGUCAAGCUGGAUUUCAGGAGGGUCCAGGAUGCCAGACUUCUAGUCUGUGGGCAAGGGCAGCUCAAGCAGAAUAAGCCGGGCUGGGACUAGGCACGUGUGGUGGUUUGUGGAUGGAGAGGAAGAUGACGGGACGGAGUCUGGAAGAAAUUCCCCACCACACUCUCCUCUUGCCGGCGUCCUAUCUGGGGCGGGUCCUUGCAAAGCCCACGUCGACGGAACCCCAUCGUGCAGGGACCUCUCAACAAAGGGUGGGUGCGACAUUGACUGUCCAGCACGGCUCCCAAAUUGGCAUAACUCCGGGACUCGAGGACCCAGAUGUCCCUGGCAGGCAUUCACCUUCCGUCACCUUCCUGAUCACACCAGCAGAGGGGGAAUGGGCCACAGCAGGGCUGUAGCCACGGCCUCCAGACG